AUUGAACGCUGGCGGCAUGCCUUACACAUGCAAGUCGAACGGCAGCACGGGAGCUUGCUCCUGGUGGCGAGUGGCGAACGGGUGAGUAAUACAUCGGAACGUACCCUGAAGUGGGGAUAACGUAGCGAAAGUUACGCUAAUACCGCAUAUUCUGUGAGCAGGAAAGAGGGGGGAUCGUAAGACCUCUUGCUUUAGGAGCGGCCGAUGUCGGAUUAGCUAGUUGGUGAGGUAAAGGCUCACCAAGGCGACGAUCCGUAGCGGGUCUGAGAGGAUGAUCCGCCACACUGGGACUGAGACACGGCCCAGACUCCUACGGGAGGCAGCAGUGGGGAAUUUUGGACAAUGGGCGCAAGCCUGAUCCAGCCAUGCCGCGCGAGUGAAGAAGGCC
rnacentral:rRNA from 1 species